UUGAACGCUGGCGGCAUGCCUUACCCAUGCCAGUCGCACGGUAACAGGUUAAGCUGCCGAGUGGCGAACGGGUGAGUAAUGUAUCGGAACGUGCCCAGUCGUGGGGGAUAACUGCUCGAAAGAGCAGCUAAUACCGCAUACGACCUGAGGGUGAAAGCGGGGGAUCGCAAGACCUCGCGCGAUUGGAGCGGCCGAUAUCAGAUUAGGUAGUUGGUGAGGUAAAGGCUCACCAAGCCGACGAUCUGUAGCUGGUCUGAGAGGACGACCAGCCACACUGGGACUGAGACACGGCCCAGACUCCUACGGGAGGCAGCAGUGGGGAAUUUUGGACAAUGGGCGCAAGCCUGAUCCAGCCAUGCCGCGUGCGGGAAGAAGGCCUUCGGGUUGUAAACCGCUUUUGUCAGGGAAGAAAAGGUUCUGGCUAAUACCUGGGACUCAUGACGGUACCUGAAGAAUAAGCACCGGCUAACUACGUG
rnacentral:rRNA from 1 species